rnacentral:rRNA from 1 species
AUUGAACGCUGGCGGCAGGCCUAACACAUGCAAGUCGAACGAGUGGCGGACGGGUGCGUAAUGUCGGGGAAACUGCGUGAGGGAGGGGGAUCACUACUGGAAACGGUAGCAAAUACCGCAUAGCAUAAGAUGUGCCCAGAUGGGAUUAGCUUGUUGGUGGGGUAACGGCUCACCACGGCGACGAUCCCUAGCUGGUCUGAGAGGAUGACGAUCCACACUGGAACUGAUACACGGUCCAGACUCCUCCGGGAGGCAGCAGUGGGGAAUAUUGCACAAUGGGCGCAAGCCUGAUGCAUCCAUGCCGCGUGUAUGAAGAAGGCCUUCGGGUUUUAAAGUACUUUCAUCGGGGAGGCGUUACCCGCAGAAGAAGCACCGGCUAACUCCGUGCCAGCAGCCGCGGUAAUUC